GUGCAAGAGAAGAUUUGGAGAGGUGAGUAUGUGGAUCUGCUGUCUUUGGUCUCUCCCGACAAGGAUUCAGUGGACAGACCACGCCGUGGGGAGGUACCCGAGGCGGAAAAAGGUAAGCAGAUACCCAGAACCUUUGGUAAUUGGUUGCAGGGGUUUAACAUAUUUGCCAGUAUCCUUGUGCGCCGGUUCCCAGAUAAGGCUCCGGCCCUGUUCGGGUACUUAGAUCUGAUUUGGGGGGCCUACAAAAUUUAUGGCGGGCAAUGCUGGUAUUGCUAUGACCAGCAAUUCCGACAAAAGAUGGCGGUGUGCCCGGGUAUGGAUUUCGCCGUGCAGGAUGGCAGUCUCUGGCUGUUACUUAUGACUCCCAGUAGACCAUCCCCCUUUCCCGGGCCUGCCGGAGGUAACUCCGGCUCCUCCGCAGGGCAGAGAAAAGGUGUGUGUUGGCUCUUUAAUGAGAGCCACUGCCGCUGGUACAGCUCCUGCAGGUUCCGCCAUGAAUGUGCACCCUGCGGGGGAGCCCACCCCGCUGUGCGCUGCUUCCGAAAGGGGAAGCCAGUUUCGGGAAAGGGUCCCUCUCGAGAUGACAUACCUAGGGGAGAGGACGCCGGUGGACGCCCUAAGGAUGCUCCCGUGGCUCGCCCGGUAUCAUAGGGGUCGCGAUGCACAGACAUUGUUUGAUGGUUUUCAGGUAGGUUUCUGGAUCCCCUUUGUUCCCUCUUCUUUCCCUCAGUUCGCGG